rnacentral:misc_RNA from 1 species
GUCUGGUCUGACAUUUUUGUACUGCAGCAUGAGGAAUAACAAAAAAUCCAAGUCACUGACAAAUUCAAAAGCAGAUUAAAGAUCACAAAUUUAUAUUUGGAGAAAGAGAGCAAAUAGCAAUGAGUUUCUGACUCAAAGUGCAAAAUCUUUUGCUUCUAUAAGUGUUCCAUGCAAACCAUACAAAUCAAUAUCAACACAGGAGAGAGAGAGAGAGAG